CCUACGGGAGACAGCAGUGAGGAAUAUUGGUCAAUGGACGAGAGUCUGAACCAGCCAAGUAGCGUGAAGGAUGACUGCCCUAUGGGUUGUAAACUUCUUUUAUAUGGGAAUAAAACGUUCCACGUGUGGGAUUUUGUAUGUACCAUAUGAAUAAGGAUCGGCUAACUCCGUGCCAGCAGCCGCGGUAAUACGGAGGAUCCGAGCGUUAUCCGGAUUUAUUGGGUUUAAAGGGAGCGUAGGUGGAUUGUUAAGUCAGUUGUGAAAGUUUGCGGCUCAACCGUAAAAUUGCAGUUGAAACUGGCAGUCUUGAGUACAGUAGAGGUGGGCGGAAUGCGUGGUGUAGCGGUGAAAUGCUUAGAUAUCACGAAGAACUCCGAUUGCGAAGGUAGUUCACUGGACUGCAACUGACACUGAGGCUCGAAAGUGUGGGUAUCAAACAGGAUUAGAUACCCGUGUAGUC
rnacentral:rRNA from 1 species